rnacentral:rRNA from 1 species
ACGCUAGCUACAGGCUUAACACAUGCAAGUCGAGGGGAAACGGCAUUGAGUGCUUGCACUCUUUGGACGUCGACCGGCGCACGGGUGAGUAACGCGUAUCCAACCUUCCCAUUACUGUGGGAUAACCUGCCGAAAGGCAGACUAAUACCGCAUAGUCUUCGAUGACGGCAUCAGAUUUGAAGUAAAGAUUUAUCGGUAAUGGAUGGGGAUGCGUCUGAUUAGCUUGUUGGCGGGGUAACGGCCCACCAAGGCAACGAUCAGUAGGGGUUCUGAGAGGAAGGUCCCCCACAUUGGAACUGAGACACGGUCCAAACUCCUACGGGAGGCAGCAGUGAGGAAUAUUGGUCAAUGGACGGAAGUCUGAACCAGCCAAGUAGCGUGCAGGAUGACGGCCCUAUGGGUUGUAAACUGCUUUUGUAUGGGGAUAAAGUUAGGGACGUGUCCCUAUUUGCAGGUACCAUACGAAUAAGGACUGGCUAAUUCCGUGCCAGCAGCCGCGGUAAUACGGAAGGUCCAGGCGUUAUCCGGAUUUAUUGGGUUUAAAGGGAGCGUAGGCUGGAGAUUAAGUGUGUUGUGAAAUGUAGACGCUCAACGUCUGAAUUGCAGCGCAUACUGGUUUCCUUGAGUACGCACAACGUUGGCGGAAUUCGUCGUGUAGCGGUGAAAUACUUAGAUAUGACGAAGAACUCCGAUUGCGAAGGCAGCUGACGGGAGCGCAACUGACGCUUAAGCUCGAAGGUGCGGGUAUCAAACAGGAUUAGAUACCCUGGUAGUCCGCACAGUAAACGAUGGAUGCCCGCUGUUGGUACCUGGUAUCAGCGGCUAAGCGAAAGCAUUAAGCAUCCCACCUGGGGAGUACGCCGGCAACGGUGAAACUCAAAGGAAUUGACGGGGGCCCGCACAAGCGGAG